rnacentral:misc_RNA from 1 species
UGCUCUUUGUACUGAAAAGGCGUGAAUAAAAUGCCGCAGUGUUUGUACGAAACUUCUGCAAAAGUGCUGUAUUAAAUUCGUGAAUAUUCAAUAACACUGCCACAACAUAACCCUGACUUUAUAAUAUCUGCAGUCUAUCUAAAGAAGAAUAUUCUGCAAUCUGUAAGA